UGGAUCAUAUCAAUCAGACUGUUAGGAACCUUUACUCACAUAGUUUUAGCCUGGCAAAAGUACAUGAAAACCCCUACUCUCCGGGACCGCCCUCCACAUGGGUAAUCCAAUGGAUAAUCCAACGGAUUCCUUCGGCGGCUUUUCAUAAAUUUGUCUGGAUAAACUAUAUAUGACCUUAGUCUAACCAAUCAAUCUGUCAUCAUAAUAGACACAACGUCAUUUCUUAUAGUAACUUAGUAUGUUACAGCUCAACACUAAUAGUUUAGCCCAUCAUUUGGGCUCAACACAUAAAGAAAAUUAAAAUAGAAAGAAUAGUACCUGAGAACAAGGCUUUAAUUUCGUCUUGUAUCAACCAAACUUAAAAACUUUUAUUCAAACUUUAAAAUUUUAGAGAGAAAAUAUUACAAUAAAG
rnacentral:lncRNA from 1 species